AUGAGAACACCCUUCCUCGCCCAGAAACAGAAAAGUUUAUCCAUGCCUUUCCUUGGACUUGCUGCUCGCCUCCUACUCUUCUUUGCCUCUCCUACCAGCUUCUGCACGGAGCAGGAGAGUAGCUCUCUCAUCAACUUCCUAGAUGGGCUCAUGCCAGAUGGCAACGGUGAUCUCAACGAUUCAUGGGUGAAUGGUACAGACUGCUGCAAAUGGGAAGGCAUCAUCUGCAGCAGCGAUGGGACAGUCACAGAUGUCUUGCUGGCCGCCAGAGGUCUUAAAGGGGGCAUCUCGCCAUCCCUCGUCAAUCUUACAGGCUUGUUGCACCUAAACCUGUCCCAUAAUUCGCUCGAAGGCAGUCUACCAAUAGAAUUAGUUUUCUCCAGAAGCAUUAUUGGCCUCGAAGUCAGCUUCAACCACCUCAAAGGUCAUCUACAAGAGAUGCAAUCCUCAAACCCCAGCCUUCCUCUUCAGGUACUGAAUAUCUCAAGCAAUUCCUUCACAGGACAGUUCCCAUUAACAACAUGGAAGGUGACGAAGAAUCUGGUUGCUCUUAAUGCAAGCAAUAACAGCUUUACAGGACAAAUACCAUCUUCUAUCUGCAUCAAUGCCCCAUCAUUUGCGAUGCUUGAUCUCUCAUAUAACCAAUUCAGCGGCAAUAUUUCUCUGGGGCUUGGCAGUUGCUCUAUGCUGAGAGUGCUCAAAGUUGGCCACAACAACCUUACUGGAGCUCUCCCUGACGGACUCAUCAAUGCUACCUCACUGGAGCACAUCUCUUUAGCAAACAAUGAUUUGCAAGGAGUUCUUGAUGGUUCCCAUAUAUUCAAAUUAAGCAGUCUGACUGUCCUUGAUCUUGGAUCGGCUGGUCUCAGUGGCACGAUUCCAGCUUCUGUCGGCCAGCUAAGAAGAUUAAAGAAACUCUAG
rnacentral:rRNA from 1 species